UGGGGAAUUUUGGACAAUGGACGCAAGUCUGAUCCAGCCAUGCCGCGUGCGGGAAGAAGGCCUUCGGGUUGUAAACCGCUUUUGUCAGGGAAGAAACGAGUUUCUCUAAUACAGAGACUUAAUGACGGUACCUGAAGAAUAAGCACCGGCUAACUACGUGCCAGCAGCCGCGGUAAUACGUAGGGUGCAAGCGUUAAUCGGAAUUACUGGGCGUAAAGCGCGCGUAGGCGGUUAGUUAAGUUGGAUGUGAAAUCCCCGGGCUCAACCUGGGAACUGCCUUUAUGACUGCAUAGCUAGGGUACGGUAGAGGAGGAUGGAAUUCCGCGUGUGGCAGUGAAAGGCGUAGAUAUGCGGAGGAACACCGAUGGCGAAGGCGAUCCCCUGGACCUGUACUGACGCUCAUGCACGAAAGCGUGGGGGGCAAACA
rnacentral:rRNA from 1 species